GCUGGGCAUAGUGGCAUGCACCUGUAGUCCCAGCUACUCAGGAGGCUGAGGCAGGAGAAUUGCUUGAACCUGGGAGGCGGAGGUUGCAGUGAGCCAAGAUUGUGCCACUGCACUCCAACCUUGUGACAGAGCGAGACUCCGAAUAUGAUCUACAUAAAAUAUAAAAUGGUCUCAAUGUUUUCGUUUUUUACUUUUUUGAGAUGGAGUCUUGCUCUGUCCCUCAGGCUGGAGUGCAGUGGCAUGAUCUUGGCUCACUGCAACCUCCACCUCCUGGGCUCAAGCGAUUCUCCUGCCUCAG
rnacentral:sRNA from 1 species